GGAGGAAAAGAAACCAACCGGGAUUGCCUUAGUAACGGCGAGUGAAGCGGCAAAAGCUCAAAUUUGAAAUCUGGCACCUUCGGUGUCCGAGUUGUAAUUUGAAGAAGCUACUUUGGGGCUAGUCCUUGUCUAUGUUCCUUGGAACAGGACGUCAUGGAGGGUGAGAAUCCCGUAUGGCGAGGAGUCUAGUCCUAUGUAAAGUGCUUUCGACGAGUCGAGUUGUUUGGGAAUGCAGCUCUAAGUGGGUGGUAAAUUCCAUCUAAAGCUAAAUAUUGGCGAGAGACCGAUAGCGAACAAGUACAGUGAUGGAAAGAUGAAAAGAACUUUGAAAAGAGAGUGAAAAAGUACGUGAAAUUGUUGAAAGGGAAGGGCAUUUGAUCAGACAUGGUGUUUUGCGACCCUCGCUCCUUGUGGGUGGGGAUCUCGCAGCUCACUGGGCCAACAUCAGUUUUGGCGGUAGGAUAAAUCUUUGGGAACGUGGCUUGUCUUCGGAGAAGCGUUAUAGCCCAGGGGAAUACUGCCAGCCGGGACUGAGGACUGCGACUUUUGUCAAGGAUGUUGGCAUAAUGGUUAAAUGCCGCCCGUCUUGAACC
rnacentral:rRNA from 1 species